CCUACGGGAGGCAGCAGUGGGGAAUAUUGCGCAAUGGGCGAAAGCCUGACGCAGCGACGCCGCGUGAGGGAUGAAGGUCUUCGGAUCGUAAACCUCUGUCAGCCGGGACGAACGGUCACUGUGCUAAUCAGCAGUGAAUUGACGGUUCCUGCACAGGAAGCACCGGCUAACUCCGUGCCAGCAGCCGCGGUAAUACGGAGGGUGCGAGCGUUAAUCGGAAUUACUGGUCCGAAAGCGCUCGUCGGCGGUAUGUCAAGUCAAGUGUGAAAUCCCCGGGCUCAACGUGGGAACUGCCUUUGAAACUGGCAAACUGGAGUGUGGGAGAGGAUAGUGGAAUUCCAGGUGUAGGGGUGAAAUCCGUAGAUAUCUGGAGGAACAUCAGUGGCGAAGGCGACUAUCUGGCACAUAACUGAUGCUGAGGAGCGAAAGCGUGGGUAGCAAACAGGAUUAGAUACCCGAGUAGUC
rnacentral:rRNA from 1 species